GGUUAAGCGACUAAGCGUACACGGUGGAUGCCCUGGCAGUCAGAGGCGAUGAAGGACGUGCUAAUCUGCGAUAAGCGUCGGUAAGGUGAUAUGAACCGUUAUAACCGGCGAUUUCCGAAUGGGGAAACCCAGUGUGUUUCGACACACUAUCAUUAACUGAAUCCAUAGGUUAAUGAGGCGAACCGGGGGAACUGAAACAUCUAAGUACCCCGAGGAAAAGAAAUCAACCGAGAUUCCCCCAGUAGCGGCGAGCGAACGGGGAGCAGCCCAGAGCCUGAAUCAGUGUGUGUGUUAGUGGAAGCGUCUGGAAAGGCGCGCGAUACAGGGUGACAGCCCCGUACACAAAAAUGCACAUGCUGUGAGCUCGAUGAGUAGGGCGGGACACGUGGUAUCCUGUCUGAAUAUGGGGGGACCAUCCUCCAAGGCUAAAUACUCCUGACUGACCGAUAGUGAACCAGUACCGUGAGGGAAAGGCGAAAAGAACCCCGGCGAGGGGAGUGAAAAAGAACCUGAAACCGUGUACGUACAAGCAGUGGGAGCACGCUUAGGCGUGUGACUGCGUACCUUUUGUAUAAUGGGUCAGCGACUUAUAUUCUGUAGCAAGGUUAACCGAAUAGGGGAGCCGAAGGGAAACCGAGUCUUAACUGGGCGUUAAGUUGCAGGGUAUAGACCCGAAACCCGGUGAUCUAGCCAUGGGCAGGUUGAAGGUUGGGUAACACUAACUGGAGGACCGAACCGACUAAUGUUGAAAAAUUAGCGGAUGACUUGUGGCUGGGGGUGAAAGGCCAAUCAAACCGGGAGAUAGCUGGUUCUCCCCGAAAGCUAUUUAGGUAGCGCCUCGUGAAUUCAUCUCCGGGGGUAGAGCACUGUUUCGGCAAGGGGGUCAUCCCGACUUACCAACCCGAUGCAAACUGCGAAUACCGGAGAAUGUUAUCACGGGAGACACACGGCGGGUGCUAACGUCCGUCGUGAAGAGGGAAACAACCCAGACCGCCAGCUAAGGUCCCAAAGUCAUGGUUAAGUGGGAAACGAUGUGGGAAGGCCCAGACAGCCAGGAUGUUGGCUUAGAAGCAGCCAUCAUUUAAAGAAAGCGUAAUAGCUCACUGGUCGAGUCGGCCUGCGCGGAAGAUGUAACGGGGCUAAACCAUGCACCGAAGCUGCGGCAGCGACACUAUGUGUUGUUGGGUAGGGGAGCGUUCUGUAAGCCUGUGAAGGUGUACUGUGAGGUAUGCUGGAGGUAUCAGAAGUGCGAAUGCUGACAUAAGUAACGAUAAAGCGGGUGAAAAGCCCGCUCGCCGGAAGACCAAGGGUUCCUGUCCAACGUUAAUCGGGGCAGGGUGAGUCGACCCCUAAGGCGAGGCCGAAAGGCGUAGUCGAUGGGAAACAGGUUAAUAUUCCUGUACUUGGUGUUACUGCGAAGGGGGGACGGAGAAGGCUAUGUUGGCCGGGCGACGGUUGUCCCGGUUUAAGCGUGUAGGCUGGUUUUCCAGGCAAAUCCGGAAAAUCAAGGCUGAGGCGUGAUGACGAGGCACUACGGUGCUGAAGCAACAAAUGCCCUGCUUCCAGGAAAAGCCUCUAAGCAUCAGGUAACAUCAAAUCGUACCCCAAACCGACACAGGUGGUCAGGUAGAGAAUACCAAGGCGCUUGAGAGAACUCGGGUGAAGGAACUAGGCAAAAUGGUGCCGUAACUUCGGGAGAAGGCACGCUGAUAUGUAGGUGAGGUCCCUCGCGGAUGGAGCUGAAAUCAGUCGAAGAUACCAGCUGGCUGCAACUGUUUAUUAAAAACACAGCACUGUGCAAACACGAAAGUGGACGUAUACGGUGUGACGCCUGCCCGGUGCCGGAAGGUUAAUUGAUGGGGUUAGCGCAAGCGAAGCUCUUGAUCGAAGCCCCGGUAAACGGCGGCCGUAACUAUAACGGUCCUAAGGUAGCGAAAUUCCUUGUCGGGUAAGUUCCGACCUGCACGAAUGGCGUAAUGAUGGCCAGGCUGUCUCCACCCGAGACUCAGUGAAAUUGAACUCGCUGUGAAGAUGCAGUGUACCCGCGGCAAGACGGAAAGACCCCGUGAACCUUUACUAUAGCUUGACACUGAACAUUGAGCCUUGAUGUGUAGGAUAGGUGGGAGGCUUAGAAGUGUGGACGCCAGUCUGCAUGGAGCCGACCUUGAAAUACCACCCUUUAAUGUUUGAUGUUCUAACGUUGACCCGUAAUCCGGGUUGCGGACAGUGUCUGGUGGGUAGUUUGACUGGGGCGGUCUCCUCCUAAAGAGUAACGGAGGAGCACGAAGGUUGGCUAAUCCUGGUCGGACAUCAGGAGGUUAGUGCAAUGGCAUAAGCCAGCUUGACUGCGAGCGUGACGGCGCGAGCAGGUGCGAAAGCAGGUCAUAGUGAUCCGGUGGUUCUGAAUGGAAGGGCCAUCGCUCAACGGAUAAAAGGUACUCCGGGGAUAACAGGCUGAUACCGCCCAAGAGUUCAUAUCGACGGCGGUGUUUGGCACCUCGAUGUCGGCUCAUCACAUCCUGGGGCUGAAGUAGGUCCCAAGGGUAUGGCUGUUCGCCAUUUAAAGUGGUACGCGAGCUGGGUUUAGAACGUCGUGAGACAGUUCGGUCCCUAUCUGCCGUGGGCGCUGGAGAACUGAGGGGGGCUGCUCCUAGUACGAGAGGACCGGAGUGGACGCAUCACUGGUGUUCGGGUUGUCAUGCCAAUGGCACUGCCCGGUAGCUAAAUGCGGAAGAGAUAAGUGCUGAAAGCAUCUAAGCACGAAACUUGCCCCGAGAUGAGUUCUCCCUGACUCCUUGAGAGUCCUGAAGGAACGUUGAAGACGACGACGUUGAUAGGCCGGGUGUGUAAGCGCAGCGAUGCGUUGAGCUAACCGGUACUAAUGAACCGUGAGGCUUAACCUU
rnacentral:rRNA from 1 species